rnacentral:rRNA from 1 species
GACGAACGCUGGCGGCGUGCUUAACACAUGCAAGUCGACCAGUGGCGAACGGGUGAGUAAUGCUUGGGACUCUACCUGAUGGCGGUGGAUAACUCCGGUAACCUGUAGCUAAUCCCGCGUACCAUCGGAUGAGCCCAAGUGGGAUUAGGUAGUUGGUGGGGUAAAGGCUACCCAAGCAGACGAUCUCUAGCUGGUCUGAGAGGAUGACCAGCCACACUGGGACUGAGACACGGCCCAGACUCCUACGGGAGGCAGCAGUGGGGAAUAUUGCGCAAUGGGGGCAAACUGACGCAGCCAUGCCGCGUGAAUGAAGAAGGCCGUCGGGUUGUAAAGUACUUUCGGUAGCGAGGCGUUAACUACAGAAGAAGCACCGGCUAACUCCGUGCCAGCAGCCGCGGUAAUAC